rnacentral:rRNA from 1 species
UACGAAGGGGGCUAGCGUUGUUCGGAUUUACUGGGCGUAAAGCGCACGUAGGCGGAUCUUUAAGUCGGGGGUGAAAUCCUGGAGCUCAACUCCAGAACUGCCUUCGAUACUGGGGAUCUAGAGUCCGGAAGAGGUGAGUGGAACUCCUAGUGUAGAGGUGGAAUUCGUAGAUAUUAGGAAGAACACCAGUGGCGAAGGCGGCUCACUGGUCCGGUACUGACGCUGAGGUGCGAAAGCGUGGGGAGCAAACAGG